UCGAAAUUACUUUUGGGGGAUCCACAAUCCAAUUGACACACUGAAAAGCCCGAAAAGUUGAAUUAUAGAACAUAAAAUGGAGAGUAUUUUCAUAAAGAAAAUAGAAUUUAGAAUCAGAUUACACACAAAGUGUGUGAAAUGAUGAGUGUGUAUAUAUAGCUCGAUGGAGAGAGGAGAAAAAGGGACCCGACCAGGCGUUUUGAUCUUUAGUAUUUUAUUUGGUGGUUUGAGACUUUGAUUAGCUUCAUAUGAGACUUACUCAGCAGGAGAUGACAUUGCGAAUUCAGAAACCGAAAUUACAAGCUUGCGAAUGAGAAGUUAGUUGUUCGGUGAGAAAAGAUUUUUCCAAUGAAGCGGUAGAGGAGGAGAGAGCGAAAUUGGUAAAAAGGUCACCCCUAAUUGAAACUUCUAGAUCAUUCUUAGAAGGUCAAGCGAUCCGUUUUCCAGAGUGGAUCCUUUUAUUUUUU
rnacentral:lncRNA from 1 species